ensembl:lncRNA
AGUACUCAUAAGUGGAAUGUAAUUAACUACCACUUAUAUUAAUUUGCAAUAUUUAUGCAAUCUGAUAGAGAAAUACUUUGGAGCUAAAUGGGCUGUUCUCAUGAAUGAGUGGAAAUAGAAUCAAUUAAUUGUCAUCCAGUAGGAUAUGAAUAGGAGAAGGCAAUGGCACCCCACUCCAGUACUCUUGCCUGGAAAAUCCCAUGGACGGAGGAGCCUGGUAGGCUGCAGUCCAUGGGGUCGCUAAGAGUCGGACGCGACUGAGCAACUUCGCUUUCACUUUUCAGUUUCAUGCAUUGGAGAAGGAAAUGGCAACCCACUCCAGUGUUCUUGCCUGGAGAAUCCCAGGGACGUCAGAGCCUGGUGGGCUGCCGUCUGGGGGGUCGCACAGAGUCAGACACGACUGAAGCGACUUAGCAGCAGCCAGCAGCAGCAGGAUAUGAAUAUCCUUCAACUUGUUCUUUUAAAAAAACCAGGACCAAAUUAUUGAAAUAAUCAAUAUAAACAGCAAUGUUAGAUAUAAUUAGCAAUAUAAAUGAAUCACAUACCAUCCAAGAUUUCUAUAGAAAUUUGAAGGAAAAACUGUCCCAGUAUUGGCUGAAAUGCAUCAUCUGUAAGUCCAUAGGAAUCAUUACAAUGUAGUCAUUCAAAUUGAAUCAUUUAUGUGUUGUGUUUCAUAAAUACUCAAAGGCAAUAUUCUGUGCCCUCAAGGAACUCUGCUAAUUGUAAUUCAUUCAUAAGUAUGGCUCUACAAUACCCAAGAUGUACUAGUAAAAUUUUUCCCGUAGAGCCAUACUGAUGAAUGAAUCAUUUCUUGUAUCAUAUUUAUGAAUGAAUUACAAUUGUAUGUAUAAUAUGAUCCACAGUCCAGUAGGUGGGACCUCGCUCUUUCACUGCUGGGGCCUGGGGUUCAAUCCUGUCAGGGAACAAAAAUACAUUCCUCAAGUGUGGCAUCGCCAAAAAACAAAACCCCAAAGGCUUAUGCAUAGGAAAAAAUAUAUACUAUACACCAAAAUGGGAAUAAGAUUACAGGGAACUAAGUCUUUCACUGCAAAUUUAUCUGAUAAUUUUUUUUUUUUUUACAAUUAACAUACUAUUUGGGAAAAAAAAUAAUUUUAAAUAAGAGAAAAGUGACUCUGGAGGAAGCUCUGUGCACUAGAGAACAGGGGAUUUUACAUUCACACUGAAAAAAUCUAAAAGGCUACAGUAAAAUCACAACUCAAGUACAGGAUAUAAUGUGUUUCAUGACAGUUCAUCUUAAAAGAUGCAGAAAGUCUAGUUGAUGCCAUGCCUGGCACCACUAUAGACCGGGUCCCCAGGCCCAUGGAAAUAAGUGAGCAGGGAGCCACAUGCGGCGUAGACCAGUUCCAGCAGACACUGCACUUGAAAUCAAGGACAGGGAGAAGCCAGUGAAGGCCACCGGACUGCUGAGCGGCUGCUUAAUUAAUCCAUGCAUCCAUGAAUGAAUGGUCAUUGAGGAUGUUGGUAAUGUUGGAAGACUAUAUUUAAUCCACUGAGCUAUUGAAACCAAAAUGACUUGUGAAAUAGUAGUCAUUUGAAGGAGACUAGAAAUAAAGCCCCCCAAAAUCUAGAGUCACAUGUGUCAUUCUCACACAUGUAUUUCAGCAGACAAUCAUAGAUGUGUUUCAGAUAUCUGAUGGUUCAUCUCUUUAAAUAAUGGGUAAAUUUGUUUUCUGUUGUCCUGCAGGCAGAGUUAUUAGAAGGUAGAGGGAAGCAAAUUUCCAUUUAAGAUGGAAAAGAACUUGCCUAUUUAGUUGACUAUUGAAACUGCUGCCUUGCAAAGAAAUGAACUUCUGGUCCCCGGAAUUGUUUUAACCGGUGUUUUUAAGAUGUAAGUUUUGUCUUUAUUCAGGUAUGGUGAGCAGGGGACUACUGCCAGUGAAAAAAAGAUAGUUUGUUACUGUUCCGAAGAGGAGAGGGCACGCCAUGCCACACAGGGACCCACAGUUUUGCUGGAUAUGGCUUCCCCAGUAGCUCAGAUGGUGAAGAAUCUGCCUGCGAUGCAAAAGACCCAUGUUUGAUCCCUGGGUCGGGAAGAUCCUCUGGAGAAUGAAAUGAAAACCCACUCUAGUAUUCUUGCCUGGAGAAUUCCAUGGACAGAGGAGCUUGGCGGGCUACAGGCCAUGGGGAUCCAAAGAGUCAGACAUGAUUGAUAGACUAACACUACAACUACUACUAAUCCAAUAUGACUGGUGUUUUUAAAAAAGAGGAAAUUGGGGGACAGACAUGCAUACUGAAUGAAGACAGUCAUCUACAAGCCAAAGAGAAAGGCCUGGAAAAGAUCCCUCCCUCAGGGCCCUCUCAGGAAGAACCAACUCCAUCUUAUUUCAGACUUCUGUCCUCCAGAAUUGUGAGAUGAUACAUUUCUGUUGUUUAAACCACCCAGUCUGGGGUUUUUUGUUAUAGGAGUCUUAACAAAUGGCCUCCCUGGUGGCUCAGUGGUAAAGAAUCCACCUGCCAAUGCAGGAGACACGUUCGAUCCCUGGGAAGAUCCCCUGGAGGAGGAAAUGGCAACCCACUCCAGUAUUCUUGUUUGGGGAAUGCCAUGGACAGAGAAGCCUGGUAGGCUACUGUCCAUGGUUUCAUAAACAGUUGGACAUGACUGAGUGACUCAACAACAACAACAGAUUAACACAAAUCUCAACUUCGGCAUGUUUCAACUGUGCAAAUACCUUCUUUUAGGGUGCUUCAAUUGCCUCACCCGAAAAACAGAGGAUAAACCUUCCCUCGCAGGGCUGCUGAGAAGUUUAAACAAGAUAAGGCUAAGUGAAGAGCACCCAGUUCCCACACUGGAACAGAGUAAAUGCUCGGUAAAUAUUACUUGAGUCUUUCCUUCUUGAACAAACCAAGUAUUUCUUUCAGUUUACCCGACUGUGGUCAGCUCAGCAGCCGGGGGAUGCAGCCUGGUACCAUCGAAAGAAUCCGCUCGAAGCCCUUGGAAAACACAGAAAAAGGCUUUGACAGCUUUGGGCGGCCCCUCUUCACCCUGUGCCUUUGGCCAGGGGUGCCCCUAAGGUUUCUAUUUCGCCCUGUGCAGGAAGAAACCUGUUCCGGAGGACGGCCUCUAGGGGGCGCGCUGUCUUCAGAGCUCGAGCCUGGACUGGCCCCUCGAGCGAGGCAAGGUGGCUCUGAGGCCUCGCGGAAGGCGCGUCCCCCUUCCUCCCCGCGCAGUUUGCUCUCAGUAACUCCGGGAACCGGAAACCCCCUCACUUUCCAGCCCUUCGAUGAGCGCGCACUGAUGCCCCGUGUGCUAUAUCCCUUACUCUGGACAAACCUGUCUUACAGCUAAGUUAAUGCUCAGAGAGGUUAAGUAACUGGCCGAAAGUCACGCAGCCAGCGGACUAGAACCCAUCUCUUCCCGACUCCAAAAGCAGCAAAACAUCUUUGUGGCCCAAGAAGCGCCAAGUGUUCAGUUCUCCAAAGGGAGCCAGGUGAGUUGCAGACCUAAUCAUGGACCCACCAAAAGACCCCAGGGACAAGAGAACCAAAACAGCCUUUAUUAACACUGUCCUUUUCUCCUUGGAGCUUGCUGUUGCUUCUGAAGCCCUGUGUCUCUGCCUCUCUCUCUACCUCUCCAGUGGUGAUUUUUUUUUUUUUAAGCUGCCCUGACUCAUUCUGAAAGUGAAGUCAUUGGAGGUUAAUUCCUUUUCCUUCUUUUCUCCUCAGAUGGUUGAUUUUCACAGCCACUCCAAACGAGUGUUCAGGACAGUGUAGGAGCAAAUGUUUUAACUGUUUAUUGCCUCCACUGAAGGAGUCAGGACACAUUAAAAAACAGCAGUAGUGACUGCAUGUAAUUGAUGGCUGAUGUCUACACUGCUGGGCAACAGCAGGGUUUUUCCUCUGAGACAUAGUCUCCCGUGCCAGAAAAAAUAACCAGUGUAACAUGAUGUUCCUUGACACUGAAUUUGUACUCCGAGUCUGUCCAGGUGAUAUUCUCCAGCUCCUUCGGGCAAUUGUUCGUUCACCCACCCACCCAUCCAUCCUGCCAACAGUUGGGAGCCCAAAGCACGCACACCACGGAGCCCUGAACCUUGACUGUAUCUGCCUACAGGACCAUUGUGAUCCAGCAGAGCAGCGCUCACGGGAGAACUGACACCAAGCCCAUAUUCAGAAAACACUCUUUAAUG